rnacentral:lncRNA from 1 species
CAUCAAUCAGAAGCAGCCUCGUCUGCACGAAUGUACUUGUACGUGCACUUGAGAAGUUCAGUAUAGGUCUGAGGGAGAGUUUUAUCCAAGGAGUAUGCAAAUCUAGAUCCCCUUAGACCCCUUUUCAUGGUCAAUAUAAUCAUGUCUUCAUUGAGGUCCCUGAUCUCAAGUGUGGUCGUGUUGAAACGGAUCACAAAAUCUCUCAAUAUUUCAGUCUCUCCUUGUUUGAUUGAGAAGAGACUGUCAGAUAUGC